CCCUUCGAUGUUCGGAGCUGCACGCGCGCUACGCUGUGGGUGGCAGCAUGUUAGCUUGCCUCGCUCGCAAGAGUGGGGUAAUCGUUUGAAAAUCCCACGUGAUUGGGAUAGGGACUUGUAAUUAUUUCCCUUGAACGAGGAAUCCCUAGUAAGUGCAGGUCAUCAGCUUGCGCUGAUUACGUCCCUGCCCUUUGUACACACCGCCCGUCGCACCUACCGAUUGAAUGGUCCGGUGAAAUCUCGGGACGGCGGCUUGGUCGCUUGCGUCCGACUGCUGAAACUUGAUUAAACCAUAUCAUUUAGAGGAAGGUGAAGUCGUANCA
rnacentral:rRNA from 1 species